UAUUAUACAAAUACUGUGAAUGGAUUACCUCGCUCAAGAAAAGUCUUUUAUCCCUGAAUCGGUUCAGAGCAGCUCUCACCGCCCCACCCUGGGUAACACCAGC